UCAAUAGAAGUGGCCAUUGAGAUAGUCCACCAUCAAUCAUUUUGGUCAUUUCGUGCAAAAUUAUGUUAAAUAAGGAUCAAAAUGGUAAAUAUACCCUCAAUUUAAUAAACAAUGGGUCAAAAUAAGUUGACAUAAAUUAAGGGUAUUUUGGUCAUUUCACAAAAUGACCAAAAUGAUUGAUAGUGGACAAACUCAUUGACCAAUUUUAUUGAUUUCAAAUCUCAGAGACCAAAAUGAGGAGUUAUACAAAUCUCAAAGACCAUUUUGACUAAAAAACCUUUAUAUUAAUGUGUCCAAGGUAAUUAAUUUGAAGACAAACAUCCCAAUUGUAGCUUAAAAAGAUAAUAUCAUAACUAAAAAGAGCCCACGAACUAGAGUUGGCCGAUACAAAUGUCUAGCAUCAAUAAUAGGCAACCUAGAAGAAACUAGCCCUUGAAUAAGUUGAUCUUUAACUGCAGCUGCAUCAUCACUUUUCAUUUUGUAAUUCAUUCCAGUAUACCUAUCAAAAACUUUUUCACUCAAACAAAAAAUUAGGUAACCCAAAUGUUGUUCAAACGCAUAUAUAACUUACAAAAAAUCAUUAUAACAAGAAAAAAAAAUGCUGAUACUCAAGAUACAUCACAUCCUUCCUACAAUACACUUGAUCAAAUGGUUGGCACCUAUUUACGUUAUAAAUCACUUUACCUAUAUAUAUUUGUCACCACACUUGGAAAUAUAGGUGGUGGUCAAACCGAAUACCAUGAUCGAUCUCCAAAUAACAGAAAUGAAUUUGCACAAGUUAUUUGAUGCCCAAGUUAUUAAACAAGAAGAGGCCGUUCCUAAAAAACAAUGAGACCCAAAUACUCAAUCAUAAACGACGACUAAUUUAUAAAUCAAGGCAAGUAGACUUGGUGAGAAACAAGAAUUCAAACAAAAAUCCAUCACAACAAAGAGAAUACAACACACACCCAAUUCCUCAUAUGAGCUAAUA
rnacentral:lncRNA from 1 species